rnacentral:rRNA from 1 species
AGCGAACGCUGGCGGCAGGCUUAACACAUGCAAGUCGAGCGGGCACUCUCGGGUGUCAGCGGCGGACGGGUGAGUAACGCGUGGGAACGUGCCCUCUGGUCCGGAAUAACUCAGGGAAACUUGAGCUAAUACCGGAUACGCCCUUUUGGGGAAAGGCUUGCUGCCGGAGGAUCGGCCCGCGUCUGAUUAGCUAGUUGGUAAGGUAACGGGUUUCCAAGGCGACUAUUAGUAGCUGGGCUGAGAGGAAGGUCAGCCACGCUGGGGCUGAGACACGGUCCGGAAUCCUACGCGAGGGGGGAAUGGGGGAUAUAGGACAAUGGGCGGAGGCCUGAUCCAGCCAGGCCGGGUAAGUGAUGAAGGCCGUAAGGAAGUAAAGCUCUUUUAUCCGGGACGAUAAUGACGGUACCGGAGGAAUAAGCCCCGGCUAACUUCGUG